CAGUAGCCGCGGGAAUACAGAGGGUGCGAGCGUUAAUCGGAUUUACUGGGCGUAAAGCGCGCGUAGGUGGUUUGUUAAGUUGGAUGUGAAAUCCCCGGGCUCAACCUGGGAACUGCAUCCAAAACUGGCAAGCUAGAGUAUGGUAGAGGGUGGUGGAAUUUCCUGUGUAGCGGUGAAAUGCGUAGAUAUAGGAAGGAACACCAGUGGCGAAGGCGACCACCUGGACUGAUACUGACACUGAGGUGCGAAAGCGUGGGGAGCAAACAGGAUUAGAUACCCCGGUAGUCCCUGUCUCUUAUAA
rnacentral:rRNA from 1 species